rnacentral:rRNA from 1 species
UACGUAGGGACCAAGCGUUGUUCGGAUUUACUGGGCGUAAAGGGCGCGUAGGCGGCAAUUCAAGUCAUCUGUGAAAUCUCCGGGCUUAACUCGGAACGGUCAGAUGAUACUGCUUUGCUAGAGUGCAGGAAGGGGCAAUCGGAAUUCUCGGUGUAGCGGUGAAAUGCGUAGAUAUCGAGAGGAACACCAGAGGUGAAGACGGGUUGCUGGGCUGACACUGACGCUGAGGCGCGAAAGCCAGGGGAGCAAACGGG